rnacentral:rRNA from 1 species
AGAGUUUGAUCAUGGCUCAGGAUGAACGCUGGCGGCGUGCUUAACACAUGCAAGUCGAACGGAGAUUACUUUUAGCUUGCUAAUUGUAAUCUUAGUGGCGGACGGGUGAGUAACGCGUGGGUAACCUGCCUUAUACCGGGGGACAACGAGUUGGAAACGACUGCUAAUACCGCAUAAGCGCACGAUGGGGCAUCUCAUUGUGUGAAAAAACUCCGGUGGUAUAAGAUGGACCCGCGUCUGAUUAGCCAGUUGGCGGUGUAACGGACCACCAAAGCGACGAUCAGUAGCCGGCCUGGGAGGGCAAACGGCCACAUUGGGACUGAGACACGGCCCAAACUCCUACGGGAGGCAGCAGUGGGGAAUAUUGCACAAUGGAGGAAACUCUGAUGCAGCCGACGCCGCGUGAGUGAAGAAGUAUUUCGGUAUGUAAAGCUCUAUCAGCAGGAAAGAAAAUGACGGUACCUGACUAAGAAGCCCCGGCUAACUACGUGCCAGCAGCUGC